UGGAGGUGUAGUUCAGUGGUAGAAUGCUACCUAGCAUGCACCAGGCCUUGGGUUCCAACCCCAGCCCUGUAA
rnacentral:tRNA from 1 species